ACAAGAUUCCAUGAAUUUGGAGAAGGGCACAAGAAGGGGAUUUUCAGGAAAUCUCAAAAUCUAAGGUGCUCGUGCAUGGAUUUGCUAUGGGAUCAUUCUAGAUGUUCUUGACAUGUCCUAGCACCAAUUUGAUCCAAGAAAAACACCCCAAAUCUCUACCAAUCGCGAGAUCUAAAAAUUCACCAAAAAAUACUCCAAAAAUAGGGAAAAAGAUAAAUUUCAGAUCUUGAGAAGGAGAAGCAAUUGCGCACAAAAUUAAUUUUUAUAUUACUCCACCAUGUAUGGUUACAAGCCACUGCUAGGCACAAUCCAAGCUAGGAUGGUAAAAAGAUCAACACAAAGAUCCCUCCUCUCUCCCUCUCUCCCUCUACCAAAGCCUCUCACAAAACAAAUGAGAAAACCCCCACCAAAACAACCAAAGGGAUGGCUAUCCCAACCAGCCAUCUCUCAUAUAUAUAGGCAUCCCGAAAAUGUCUAGAAUGCCCUUACAUGAAGCACACAACUCAAAUACCCUCUAGGGGUAAAAUCGUCCAACUUUUUCCUCGUACAUCGGAUGGACCUGGCACCUUCAUUACUUUGCUUCGACU
rnacentral:lncRNA from 1 species